UCUUUAAAGUCAUCUGCCUUCUUAUUACUUAGUUCUCAGUUCCAACGAUACAAUUGAAUUCCCAGGCAAAGGAUUCCACUUUAGUCCACACUUUCUCUUGGUUUCAAUUGCAUAAAUUUUCUCACUUCCAAAUUUUCAUCUUCAGUUCCCACUUUCCCUCUAUCCUUUCUCAUCGAUCGGUUGUUUUUGGGUGCUGCCAUAUGCGGAUACAAUAAAAGGGUUAGCGACGGUGGUAGCCAAUCAAAGAGAGCAGUGCCGAGGUUUGGCGGCAGGACAGCUAAUGGUCAGAAGAGUUUUGGGAAAAUUUUGGACAUCGGAACCGUAUUAUAUUACAUGGGAUUGAAUCUCCCCCUUCUUCUUGGUUCAAGGGAAACUGAAACAAAAUAGGAAACAGUGUUGCAAGAUAUCUAGGUAAAAGUAUUCAUUUCUCUUUUGUUGAUAAUAUUGAUCAUCUACUUCAAACUGUUUGUUCUUACUCCUAAAGCUAGUAUUGUUGGUUUACUGGGCACAGAAGGUUUGGACUCUCUAGGAUUCUUGGGGUUCUGCUUUUGUAUGGCGGCCAUAUGCUUUGUUUUUUAUUUUAUUACUUAUUAAAUCUCAUAUCAUUCUUAGAUAUUUGAGAAUAUUAUUAGAUAAAUUUAAUAUUGUCUUGAUGAUUGGAGAAGGGUGGUUUGGUUUCUCUGAGUUGUUGUUGUGGCUUUCAGCCUUAUUCUGGUUUUUUAUACUUAUAUUCUCAAAAUUGGUACAGGUGGUUUACUAUAGAAAUGUUCCUCGCAUGGCUUGUUCUGCUGCUAAAGCUUAGGGACUUGAAGCACGCAUACGUUUUACUGUUAUUAUUGUCAUCAUUUGGUUAUUUCCGCUUCCAAAUAUGCUAAAACUGAAAGUCAUGUUCUUUUUCAGGACUGGAUAUCUCAACGGGAUGGAAUAAGUGAAAGGAAGCAGGGAAGAUUAGCAUUAAUCAUGGAAUUCCAUAUGGAUGGUUCUAGUUAAACAUGGGGUGCAUCGGACACAGUCUCGCUUUUGGUCUUAGUUGUUAUAGCCUUAUAGGUGUUUUCUGAUUGCGCUACUACUCUUGUAGUUGUGACCCUCUCACAUUUUGUUCAGCUUAGUCAGGGACUAUUAUGCAGUAGUUGUUCUAAUGCUUAACCAUGAAAAACCUCAGUGGUUUUAUAUAAGCAGCUACUUACUACAUGCUACAUUUUGCUGUAAAGUACUAAAGGGAUUUGCCCUUACCACAUUAAUAGCGGUGUAACAUCCAUUCUGUCGUAGGAGCACAUAC